GACAGAGGGUGCAAACGUUGUUCGGAAUUACUGGGCGCAAAGCGCGUGUAGGCGGCAUGGCAAGUCGGGUGUGAAAGCCCUGGGCUCAACCUAGGAAGUGCACUCGAAACUGCCACGCUUGAGUCUUGGAGAGGAAGGCGGAAUUCUCGGUGUAGAGGUGAAAUUCGUAGAUAUCGGGAGGAACACCGGUGGCGAAGGCGGCCUUCUGGACAAUGACUGACGCUGAGACGCGAAAGCGUGGGGAGCAAACAGG
rnacentral:rRNA from 1 species